UACGAAGGGGGCUAGCGUUGCUCGGAAUCACUGGGCGUAAAGCGCACGUAGGCGGAUCUUUAAGUCAGGGGUGAAAUCCUGGAGCUCAACUCCAGAACUGCCUUUGAUACUGGGGAUCUCGAGUCCGGGAGAGGUGAGUGGAAUUCCUAGUGUAGAGGUGAAAUUCGUAGAUAUUAGGAAGAACACCAGUGGCGAAGGCGGCUCACUGGCCCGGUACUGACGCUGAGGCGCGAAAGCGUGGGGAGCAAACAGGG
rnacentral:rRNA from 1 species